CCUCUAGGGGAACCGAUCUCUGAGAUGUUCCAGAGCCCCAGAGGACAAGCACCUCCUUGUUGGGCCUCAAAAUGAAGACUUUCCAUUUUAAAGAAUCAUGGAAUCUUACAAGUUGGUUUCAGCAUGUGUCAUCUAGUCCAAUUCAUAUCUGAGCAGGAUGACCCUCUAUGACAUCCCUGACAAAUAGUCGUCUGCAUUCCAAAUGGUUCAUUCUACAUUUUAAUAGUCUCAUCAGGAAUGAUGACGAUGAUGAUGACUGUCAUUUCUACAGCACCUUAAAUUUGCAAAUAUUCUCUCACUUGAUCCCUACAACACUGGGAGAUAAGGAAACCGAAGAAAACAAAGGUUAGGUGACUGGCUAGUAUCUGAGGCUGGAUCUGAACGUUUUGGUCUUCUUGGCGCCACCUAGCUGCCUCAUUGCAAGCUACUGAAAUCACAUCCAGAAACAACUAAAAUGUCAAUAAAUUUUGAAGGAAAAAAUGCAAAAGCCUUUUCAGAAGGUCAAGAGGAAACCAACUGUCAGGGGACUAAAACAAAUUUUCCUCUCCCAACAAUACCCCUGGUCUUCUUUUAUAUGUCUACAGCAGCCUCAUUGUUACCCCUUGGAAUAGUGUUAAGGGAAGACUGGUUUCCUGCACCUCCUUCCUCCAGAACCUUUUGUCUCUCAGAAAAAGUAAACUGUGGCCACUCAAAUCUCUCUACACUGCUGCCUCUACCUCCAUGUGAUGAAUUAUUGCUGUCAAAGAGGGGGAGAUACAGAAUGCAGCAAAUGUAAAUCAUUGGACAUUAAAGAUUAGAUAAAUAAAAAAGAAGAAAAAGUACCAUUUGAAGAUGAUUCCACAGAUCAUCUUGCUCAGCAUUAGAGAACGCAAAUGUUUUCAAAUAUGACUGUGGAAAAAUGGAAGUUAUGAUUAAAUGAAUGACAGCAAAUACAAAAAAAAAAGUAGCAUUCACUCUUCAGUUCACAAAAGCUUCAGUUUUUCCAGACUUACUUCAAUUCCUCUAAGGAACAGAUUCUCACUGAGAAAAUUUGACAUCAUCCGGAUUACACAACCUCCCUGAAACACAAGAAAAUCAGGACAUAUUAUUUGAAUAAAAUUAAGUAUUUAUGGACCAACAACAGUCAUUUUGUAAAUAUAGUCAAAUGCCUGAGUACUCAGCACAUGUUAAAAAUGAAAUCUCUUUUCCCUCACAGUAUCUAUAUUAUCUAAAAAAAAAUGCUAAGUGACCUGAAGCCAUCCUUGAGUUGAAGUUUAAACUUCAAGUGUCCUAUACUUACACAGUUGUUGUAAGGAUCCAGUGAAAUACCAUAUGUAAAGUGCUUUUAUACCUUAAAGUUAUUAUUAUUGAUUAUAUUUGCAAAAAAAAAUCAGUUUGUCCCUAACUUUGUCAAGAGGUCAUCUAUUGUAUAACAUGAGGUACGUCUUCUGCAAUAAAAAUUUUACAGUAGCAAAUUUGUUCUGUAAACUAUCAAGCCCAUCUUUUAACCAAUCUUC